rnacentral:rRNA from 1 species
ACGAACGCUGGCGGCAGGCCUAACACAUGCAAGUCGAGCGCGCCCUUCGGGGUGAGCGGCGGACGGGUGAGUAACGCGUGGGAACGUGCCCUUUUCUACGGAAUAGCCUCGGGAAACUGAGAGUAAUACCGUAUACGCCCUUUGGGGGAAAGAUUUAUCGGAAAAGGAUCGGCCCGCGUUGGAUUAGGGAGUUGGUGGGGUAAUGGCCUACCAAGCCGACGAUCCAUAGCUGGUUUGAGAGGAUGAUCAGCCACACUGGGACUGAGACACGGCCCAGACUCCUACGGGAGGCAGCAGUGGGGAAUCUUAGACAAUGGGGGCAACCCUGAUCUAGCCAUGCCGCGUGAGUGAUGAAGGCCUUAGGGUUGUAAAGCUCUUUCAGCUGGGAAGAUAAUGACGGUACCAGCAGAAGAAGCCCCGGCUAACUCCGUG